CCUACGGGAGGCAGCAGUGAGGAAUAUUGGUCAAUGGGCGUAAGCCUGAACCAGCCAAGUCGCGUGAGGGAUGAAGGUUCUAUGGAUCGUAAACCUCUUUUAUAAGGGAAUAAAGUGUGGGACGUGUCCUAUUUUGUAUGUACCUUAUGAAUAAGGAUCGGCUAACUCCGUGCCAGCAGCCGCGGUAAUACGGAGGAUCCGGGCGUUAUCCGGAUUUAUUGGGGUUAAUGGGUGCGCAGGGGGCUUUUUAAGUCAGCGGUGAAAGUCUGUGGUUCAACCAUAGAAUUGCCGUUGAAACUGGGGGGCUUGAGUAUGUUUGAGGCAGGCGGAAUGCGUGGUGUAGCGGUGAAAUGCUUAGAUAUCACGCAGAACCCCGAUUGCGAAGGCAGCCUGCCAAGCCAUGACUGACGCUGAUGCACGAAAGCGUGGGGAUCAAACAGGAUUAGAUACCCUUGUAGUC
rnacentral:rRNA from 1 species